ensembl:lncRNA
AUGGCAGCCAGAGACUAUAAAGCCAGCUCCCCGGGGCCGGAUCUGUCUGAUAAGCUGCUCCGGGAUGUUGCAAAAACUCUGGGACAGGAGUGGGAGCAGGUGGCCCUCCACCUGGGGCUGAAGAACGAAGAUCUGGAUGAGAUCAAGAAAGAAAAGAAAGACGAGUACACGCAGAGACGGAACAUGUUGCGGCUGUGGAAGGACCGAAGACCAGGAAAGGCCACAGCACAGUACCUGCUGAGAGGUCUGGAAGACAUGAAGGACCUACCUGACGAGACUCGACGGUUAUUGAAAGGUAACGUACUUCACCCCCACACACACAGGGGUGGGGCGGGGGGUAUUUUAGAUGUGGUUCCGUAGUGUAUAUGGCUUUAUUUAGUGGGAGUCUUUGUAAUAUAUGUUUGUAGUUUAGCCUAACCCAGCCACUUCAGGGGGCAUGCCAGCUCAACUAGGUGUCGGUCCCAAGCCUGGAUUAAAGGGGAGGGUUGGCAUCAGGGUUUGUGUGUGUGUGUGUGUGUGUGUGUGUUUGGGGGGGGCUUGACCCAUUUCUUCCCCAGGGCCCUUCAUUGAGUUGUUCCGUUUCGUAAAGGUACACUUUUUGGACGUAUUUAAUGUGUCCGCUCUCACUGAUUCCCGUUAACUCAUUGCAUGGCUUAAGGUACGUGGUUUUAAAGAGUUGCACAGUUGGUAUACACAUUCAAGAAACCGAAAAGACUAGGGCUGUAACGAUACGCGUAUCGAAACCGAAAUCGCGACACUCAAAGCCACGAACCUGUCUCGCGGUGUGAGAAGGCAGAAGCGCGAUAUGCCCUUUCUAACUCACCUGUCAAAUUGUCAGAUUGAAAUUUGCUAAUAAUUUGUCGAAAUAAUAGUCUGCUGACAGCGCCCCCUCCUAUCGAUGCCGUAAGUAUGCGACGAGAUGCCCUCUCUGUGAUGACAGCUCUCCGUGGCUACGGAGGAUUGCAUUUCUCCACAGCCGUCGAAGUCCUCAUAUGCGAUAUGAACGACAUUUAUCCAGAGUGGGCCAAGCGCGAAAAAAAUUGCCUGUGUGAUCCUGUCUCUAUUGUUUUGUGUGAUUUGACUGGCAGUUUGUCUGCUUAUAGGUCGGAAUGAAGCGGCCACCGAUUAUUGACAGGAUGGGUCCUUUAUUCUACCGGACUCGUUUGCUUCUUCACUAGACACACGUGCUACCACUCGCUCUUCUCACUCGUCCACUCACUCACUGACGUCACUCACACACACAUACGCACACUGCCAUUCUCGCGCACACACAUAUGCUACUCGUUGUUAUGCUACUCGUUGUUAACACUAUGGCCCAAUCCCGUUUCUUUGCUCACUGUCUCAACCCUACAUCUCAACCCUAACCCUCAUGCUCAUUGCUACCCCUCAUUGCUACCCCUAACCGAUCCCCUACCAAAUGGGACAACCCUACCCUGUGACGUCAUCAUGGCCUCCCCGUGCCCCCUAGCAGAUAACCAGACCCCUGGUAAUGUUACAAGAGACAGACUGGCUGCCAUGGUCUCGGGCAACGAGCAAGACCCAUUGUAAAGAUUUUUAACCUGAAAUGGUAUUUAUAUUUUGUAAUUGGCAUGUUUAAAUAAAGUGUUAAAAAAAAAAUAAUACUAUUUGUCCCUCGUAAUAUACCUUUAUUUUGAAUGUCACUUAGCUACAUGUUUAAGGUGGUAUUAGGGUGCACUCACACUAGGCCAUCUGGCCGUGGCCGUUGGCCGUUUUCACACCUAACCGUGCUCAAAUGGCCCCAUUGUUCUCUGGCCUGCACUCACACUAGGCCAUCUGGCCGUGGCCGUUGGCCGUCGCAGCUGUGGCCUGGCCAUGGAAGGCUCUUGUACAUACGUCAUCACGUCGUAACACAUCAUCACCAAGCGUCCGCUGCAUGGACCAUAAUAAAGUCUGCCGCC